rnacentral:misc_RNA from 1 species
AGAGAGAGAGAGAGAGAAUGGAGUCACCAGGGCAGUGGCUGGAAAAUGCUCUGGUAGAUUUGUGCAAGAGAAUAGAGACGGAUUUGGAUUUGGAUAGGGAAAUAAUCUCCGGCUUAGUCUCUUACUGCGAGCUCGCUCAGCCCCUUGAUGCCAAAGAGUAUCUUGAUGUAAUCUCUUUCUCGCUUUCUGGUUUUAUUUUUCAUAUCGUCAAUGGGAUUUUUGUUUUUCUAUUAGGGUUUAAGUUUUAUUUUCGCCUAACAAUAUGAUGGGCUAGUGAGAUUGAUAUUGUAUCACCACUUGGGAAAUCGACAAUUAAUUAUCAUUAUGGCGAUGAUGAAAAGAUGCUGAUUACCCAGUUCUUUUUGGUACUGCACUGGUGCUGUUAUUGGUAUGGAAAUCUUGUUAGCUAUUAGUGUCUGAAUUUUGGUUUGUUGGAUAAUUAACUGACAAAGAGUUAUUCCUUGAAAGAAACAACUUUGUGUUCUAUGGUUCCAUAUGAUAUAUGAAACUUAUGAAAGAAACAGACCAUCAAGAUAACCUUUUGAGUUUAUUGCUGCCUGAAUCUUGAUGUGUAGCUACUGGUUGCUUCUUGAGGCAUGACCUUGUUAGACUCUACAGUAGCAUAGUUUUGUCAGGUACUAUUCCAUCAGGUGCUAGCAAGAUGCCACACAGUUAUGCUAUUGGUUAUUUCAAAUUGUAGUAAGUUGAUGCUACUUUUCUUAGAUACACCCACAUAUGGUCUCCAUUAUAUAUGGCUUUUGUAAAAGAAUCAGUCAAUUCUAUUUGAAGCUUGUUUGAUGUACACAUCUGAACUCUCUCAUUUUAAUUCAUCAUAGAUUUACUAACUUCUAUAAAUUUUCCAG